CUUUUUUUUUUACCAAUUAUAAUUCUACCAGAAGUCUAAAUCAUCUAAACUAUAUAUUUAAAAAAAAAACAUUUUCAUUCUUGUUAUUGGCAAAGAAUAUUUCUUAAUUCACUUCGAUAAGCCCGAUGCUGCAGCUAUAACAUGGCCCAAUGGUUGGAAUCACUUAUUUCAUAGUUUGUAUAUAUGUGUAGGUGUUUACUUUCAUCUGAACCUCAUUAAGCAUUUUUCAGCAUCCAUUACAAAAGACAGCUAGCACACAAAUCACUUUUUCUUGUCUUUCUCUUCUAUAAACCAAAAUAUUCACUUGUUCAUCCUCAACUAUCAAUAAGUCAAUUAUAACCAUGAUUCUAAUGCCAUUAAUGUUAACUUCAUUGAUGAAGCUUGCAAAGGCACUAGUGUGUGAACCUACUUCAACUCUCACAACAAUUCUCUAUUAUGGAAACUUGCUUCCUAGAAAUCUUAACUUGGACAGAUUAGUGAGGAGAGAGUUUCUUCAACAAGAAAAUUAUUUCUUCCAUUUUCUCAUUGCAAUGUUGAGGUGUGUAUGGUAAUUAUAGUACUAGGACAUAAGUAUCAAGUUAUGUGGUAAUUGAUGGGAACAAAUUAGUGUAUGUACUUAUGGAAGCACACCAUGUGGUAGCAUAGUGAUAUUUGUUCAAAAGGAAUGUGUGAAGAUUAAUGUAGAUGUUUCAUGUUUCCAGAGACA